rnacentral:rRNA from 1 species
UACGGAGGGUGCAAGCGUUAUCCGGAUUCACUGGGUUUAAAGGGUGCGUAGGUGGGCUGGUAAGUCAGUGGUGAAAUCUCCAGGCUUAACUUGGAAACUGCCAUUGAUACUAUUAGUCUUGAAUACCGUGGAGGUCAGCGGAAUAUGUCAUGUAGCGGUGAAAUGCUUAGAUAUGACAUAGAACACCAAUUGCGAAGGCAGCUGGCUACACGAAUAUUGACACUGAUGCACGAAAGCGUGGGGAGCGAACGGG